rnacentral:rRNA from 1 species
AUUUAUCUCUGCCUGAAGAGAAGCUCGCGGCUGAUUAGCUAGUUGGUAGGGUAAAGGCCUACCAAGGCGACGAUCAGUAGCUGGUCUGAGAGGACGAUCAGCCACACUGGAACUGAGACACGGUCCAGACUCCUACGGGAGGCAGCAGUGAGGAAUUUUCUGCAAUGGGCGAAAGCCUGACAGAGCAAUACCGCGUGGGGGAUGAAGACUUACUGAGUUGUAAACCUCGGUACCCUAAGGAAGAAGAUAUGACGGUACUUAGGGUGGAAAGCAUCGGCUAACUCCGUGCCAGCAGCCGCGGUAAGACGGGGGAUGCAAGUGUUAUCCGGAUUUACUGGGCGUAAAGCGUCUGCAGGUGGUUUCUUAAGUCUACUGUUAAAUCUUGAGGCUCAACCUCAAAUCUGCAGUAGAAACUAGGAGACUUGAGUAUAGUAGGGGUAGAGGGAAUUUCCAGUGGAGCGGUGAAAUGCGUAGAUAUUGGAAAGAACACCGAUGGCGAAGGCACUCUACUGGGCUAUUACUGACACUCAGAGACGAAAGCUAGGGGAGCAAAUGGGAUUAGAUACCCCAGUAGUCCUAGCCGUAAACGAUGGAUACUCGAUGUUGGACGUAUCGACCCGUUCAGUAUCUUAGCUAACGCGUUAAGUAUCCCGCCUGGGGAGUACGCUCGCAAGAGUGAAGCUCAAAGGAAUUGACGGGGGCCCGCACAAGCGGUGGAGGAUGUGGUUUAAUUCGAUGCAACGCGAAGAACCUUACCAGGGUUUGCUAGAAGUGUUGGUUUUCUGAAAAGGAUUCCUUAUUCCGCUUCUACAGGUGGUGCAUGGCUGUCGUCAGCUCGUGUCGUGAGAUGUUGGGUUAAGUCCCGCAACGAGCGCAACCCUUAUUUUUAGUUCUAUUGUCUAAAAAGACUGCCGGUGACAAACCGGAGGAAGGUGAGGACGACGUCAAGUCAUCAUGCCCCUUACACCCUGGGCUACACACGUCCUACAAUGGGUAAGACAAUAAGCUGCAAAUUCGCGAGGAUAAGCUAAUCUUUGAAACUUACUCCAAGUACAGAUUGCAGGCUGCAACUCGCCUGCAUGAAGGUGGAAUCGCUAGUAAUCGCUGGUCAGCUACACAGCGGUGAAUCCGUUCCCGGGCCUUGUACA